CCUUUUGGGACAGAAAUCACUUUGUAAAGCUGGUAUAAUGCAUAAACAUUAAUAUAGAGGCAAGAAAAUCAAGAAUGACAAAAGCAUAAAUGAAUGCAAUAAAAAAAUAGACCACAGGUAUGGAGAAUCGACCAAUCAGUGUAACAUUAUACAAUAACACUGACAAGCCUUAAAAGGAUAAACUCCCACUACUGACAGAAAACAAAACUGAUUACACUAUCUAUAC